AGCGACUGGCUUUGGAUAUGCUUCC
rnacentral:miRNA from 1 species